rnacentral:rRNA from 1 species
GACGAACGCUGGCGGCGUGCUUAACACAUGCAAGUCGAGACGGUAAGGCCCUUUCGGGGGUACACGAGCGGCGAACGGGUGAGUAACACGUGGGUGACCUGCCCUCAGCUCUGGGAUAAGCCUGGGAAACUGGGUCUAAUACCGGAUAUGACUCCAUGACGCAUGUUGUAGGGUGGAAAGCCUUGUGCGGCUGAGGAUGGGCCCGCGGCCUA